rnacentral:lncRNA from 1 species
CUUAUUAUUACCAUCCUCCUUGCAAUCAUCAUCGUCGCCUUCCUCUUCUCCGGAUUCAUGGUGGUUGACCUGAGCCAACCCUAUCCCACGACCUACUACAAUCGUCGGCGACCCACUCAGCGAUUCCACCACUUCUGCCGACGACAUUUCCAUCUGACACACCCUAACUGCACCGAUUAAUCUCUCCGGCAACUCUUCUUCCUCCUGCGCCUCCACCACGAACCCCAUGUCGAUCUUCACGCUCGUCACGCAUCCCAA